CGGAAAUGACGUCAGUGUACGACCUGAAAAAGUGCGCGGGGAAUUUCUGUAUCUGUUUCAGUAACGGCGUUAAAUAACUCAAUGUACAUCGCGUAUUUUAAUCAACUCAUUUAACCAGUUGUUGGGUAAAAUGUCUCAUCCAGUUGAAGCGGAUUUACCACCGAACUUGUUAUGCCUGAAAAAUAUCGACACUUUGCUCCGAUGCCCCAUUUGCUUCGACUUCUUGAAUGUAUCCAUGAUGACGCAGUGUUCUCAUAACUUUUGCUCCCUGUGUAUACGGAAAUUCCUUUCCUACAAGUUGCUGUGUCCUCUUUGCAACACGCCACUGACCGAACAAGAGCUGAGGAACAACAGACUACUGGAUGACCUUGUUCAGAGCUUUCAAGCUGUGAGGCAACAGCUGUCUCAGACAAAUUUUGAGUCCCCUCCAAUCUCCCCCGAGACACCGACAAUGGCCAUUGGAGAAAAAGCAGCGAGGCAGAAAGCCCUUAAAAAAGAGGGCACUCCUCUGACUCACUUCUUCCAGAAGCGUGCCCCAAUCAGCUCUUCCACAGGAGCACAGUCAGGCUCUAAGGGUCUGUGCCCAGUGAAACAGGAGCCCAUGGAGGUGUGUGUGCAGGGCGCUCUCCUGCCAGAGAGUGCAGUGACUGCGACUACAGCAGUGAAAGAAGAGAUGCUGGACAUGCGUGCUUUUCCCUCCACGUCGCAGGAUAUUAAACCUGUGGUCAAAGUGGACUGCCCAGUGUGUGGACUGGAAGUGCCUCAGCAACACAUUAAUAAACAUCUGGAUACAUGCCUGACCAGUGGGGAGAAGAAGGAUAGCCUUAGAAGGUCUGACCAGCUAGGCUUUUCUGGUUCUGCAUUUAUAGAGCCAAAUUCUCGGAAGCGCAGGCCGAUGGCUAAACUGGUGUACACACUGCUGACAAUGGUGGAGCUAAAGAGAAGGCUGAGAGAGUGCCAUCUGUCCACGCAAGGUUCCAGAGAGCAGCUCAUCCGACGGCACCAGGAGUUCUCACACAUUUACAACGCACAGUGUGAUGCAGUCAACCCCAGAUCGAGUGAGGACAUUGCCAGAGAGGUUGAAAACAAUGAGAAGAUGAGGAAUCAGCUGGACAGUAAAAGAAAACCUGCAAUAGUCAUCACUAAAAACCACACAGCCAAUGAAAUUGAACAGUUGCACUCAGAUUACCGGAAACAACACAGCGGUGAGUUUUCCCGUUUAAUUGCUCAAGUCAGAGGUCGUUUGGAAAAUUCCAGGAGAACACAAAUUAAGCAGGAAGGAGGGAAAUCUGCGGAGGCAUCAUGUUGCAGUGCUGAUGAUACAGUAGUCCAAAACACAACCCAGCCCCCAGUUUCUUUGAUGGUGGAAGUUGACAACAAUGAGGCAGUUUCUGUUGUAGAACUUGACUCAGGGUCACUAAGCCCUAUUCUCAGUGAAGUGUCUGACAGCAGUGAAUAUUAACAGCUUUUGAAAUGCAUGGUCGAAAACUCAUUCAGCUCCAUUUCCGAUGUUUUCAAUUGAAGACCAUAAGGAUACUACCUGUAGUCCAAGAGGCUAACGCAGAGCCGCAGGCUCCUGGGAGUUGAAUCCUCUUAAUGCAGGGGAACAUGCACUCAAGGCUAGACAGAACCAGCAUGACACCUGGACUCGAUUUAAAAUUAACAUUGAAUUUAUCUUUUAUACCUUUACGCAUAAUUCUGUUUUCAGUAUGGGAUUUGUAUAUAGAACAUUUGAACAAUAAAAUCUAUUUUUUUUUAA